AGGAAAAUCAUGAAGUAACAUUCCAAUAGAAGGAUCAACCUAAAGUUUGGUGGAGAAAUCAUUUAUGUUAGUUAAAGUGGCAGCCAUCAGCGGAUAGGUAGAAGCACAUACACAACAAAUUGGUCUACACUCUCUUGUGGCAGCUAAUCUUUCUGCAGGUCCCGUGUUAAUUUGAGAGCAGCAGCUGUCUGCUUGCUCCGGCUAGAUGGAAAACAAUCACUCCUGCCUUCAUAUACACAUGAUUUCCGCUGUCACGGCAAGUUAGAACAAUUCUUUAUUCAUGGUUGCAUAAUUAAAGACUUGCAUGACAAUCUUAGGGAUGAUCUUUAACUUCCUUGCAUCACAAUUUAGUAAAGUGUCAAUAUCGCCAUCACCACCAAGAGGAGAAGACCUCUCGUCCUUGUCGAUAUAUGAUAUUUGGAGUACCACUUCAUUGUAAAAAAUCCGAUAUUGAACAAAAAAAUUAAUGCAUUUUAGUUAGGAGGUAUGAAUGACACACACAACCACUUUGAUGUGUCGAAGCUGCAUUGUGGUUAGAAAGGGCACUCUUUUAUGGGAUAAAUAGAAGUUGAAUGAAAAUUACCUCAUAUUUGCUGCUAGUAGAAAUCACAGACUCAAAUUCACUCCAUGAGUUGGGUGCAUAAAAAACAUUACCAUCUUCAAGUUGCUUCUUGAUCCUCUGAGCUAUAGUGAUUGUAUCUUAUGUUCGCUUAACAUUUGAAUGAAGCAAUUUUACCAUAGAAACCAAAAAUAAAAACAAUCACAUAUUAGAAAUUCUUUCAAAAAUAAGUAUUGAAAACAGCUUCGUAAAUAAAGCUAGCAGGAUCCUAGAAAAUUGUUUUCCUCGUGUGUUACCUUAAAAUAUGUCAAGAACCAAAGAAACAGAUUAUUUGUGAGAAAGGUAAAACUUGAUUAUGUUGAAGAAUCACUUCCAACUACUAAAAAAUAAAAAAUCAAUUAUUAAAAUAGUUGUGAUAAAAGAUGAAGUAGAGCUAUUUUUUUUUUAAAAGCAACAUAUAUAUUUAACAGCUAAUUUGCACAAAACAUGCAAAGAAACAAACAUAAUUACGGAAGCCUUAUGUAUGCGGCAAGCAACCAAUAGGAAACCAAAAUACCCUACCCCAUCACAAUACAAACCAACAAAUCAAAAUCACCAUUGCGCAUAACGCCUAAAACAGGACCGAAACAAAAACUGCAGCCAAAGCCACACACCAGACCAGCAGACGGUGAAAAAACUGACAGGAAAAAAGCACCUAACAGCAGCAACAGACCCGAGGCUUGCCCUCUCAACUGUCAUCCCCUUUGUAAACACUCCUUUGGAUUUCAUAUACAACGAAGUAGAGCUAUUCGAUUGGUUAAUUCAUAACUCAUUGAUAUAGUGGUGUCCUUGAUCUCAUGGAACCUGUAAAUGAAUGAUAACAAAAAAAGAAUAUUAAAAAGACAAUAACUUGAGAAUAUGAACACUAACAACUUUUGAAUUUUUCUUCCCUUCAAUCAAAGCAAUAUAUUUAUGAAGUCUCAACUUAAGUGCAUCAUAUGACUACCAACAAAUUCAAAAGGGAAACCAAAAACACAUUUAGAUCAGAUUACGCCACUAUAUAAGACUAAUGAAAUCAAGUGUCCUAAGAUGCAAUGCAAGUGUACUAAGUCAAUCCCAAAAUGUCACUAAAUGAGUAAUUUGAAAACCAAUUUCCUGGAGUCUUCUGAAGCAUUCCAUAGCAGACCGCCAACUUCAGUCACUUAAUAAAGACCAUCACUUUAUGCUUUCAAUUCCACAAUAGAUAGAAAUUCUUCAAGGCAAUUAACAUGAGACCAUAUAUAAAAUUCAGAAUGCAACAGAGAAAGCUUAUUAAUGUUUAAAAUAUUCAAAUGCUUAAGUAGUUGAAAGAUAAAAUCACUUAAGAUUUGAACUUUCCUUAC
rnacentral:lncRNA from 1 species